CUAAACCCUACAAGAAUAUUUUCAAAAAAUUUCAUCAUACAAUUUGUGAUGAGCUGAUAGGCACUAAUCAGUCCAAGCUUUUAAAGGUGGUAGGAAUUGUUGCAACGUGAGGACAACGGAACAAAGGUCAGGUGGUUUAUUGUUUGGGGUGUCUUUUAUACCUUUAUAAAACUGAAUGUAGGCAGUUAAGGUCGAACACGUGGGCAAUAAAGCGUGGAUUGUAUCAAACAGUAAAAGGCAAGU
rnacentral:ncRNA from 1 species